rnacentral:rRNA from 1 species
CCUACGGGUGGCAGCAGUGGGGAAUAUUGCACAAUGGGGGAAACCCUGAUGCAGCGACGCCGCGUGAGUGAAGAAGUAUUUCGGUAUGUAAAGCUCUAUCAGCCGGGAAGAAAAACGCCGGUACCUGCCUCAGAAGCCCCGGCUAACUACGUGCCAGCAGCCUCGGUCCUACGUAGGGGGCAAGCGUUAUCCGGAUUUACUGGGGUUAAAGGGCGUGAAGCCGGGAAGACAAGUCAGAUGUGAAAUCCCGCGGCUCAACCGCGGAACUGCAGUUGAAACUGGUUGUCUGGAUUAGCGGAGAGGUCAGCGGAAUGCCUUGUGUAGCGGUGAAAUGCGUAGAUAUAAGGAAGAACACCAGUGGCGAAGGCGGAUGACUGGACGGCAACUGACGGUGAGGCGCGAAAGCGUGGGGAGCAAACAGGAUUAGAUACCCGAGUAGUC